rnacentral:rRNA from 1 species
UACGAAGGGGGCUAGCGUUGCUCGGAAUCACUGGGCGUAAAGGGUGCGUAGGCGGGUCUUUAAGUCAGGGGUGAAAUCCUGGAGCUCAACUCCAGAACUGCCUUUGAUACUGAAGAUCUUGAGUUCGGGAGAGGUGAGUGGAACUGCGAGUGUAGAGGUGAAAUUCGUAGAUAUUCGCAAGAACACCAGUGGCGAAGGCGGCUCCCUGGCCCGAUACUGACGCUGAGGCACGAAAGCGUGGGGAGCAAACAGG